rnacentral:rRNA from 1 species
AUUGUUAAGCUACUAAGGGUGUACGGUGAAUGCCCUGGCAUCAGAAGGCGAUGAAGGACGUAGCUAGCUGCGAUAAGCCCCGGGGAGCCGCAAGCAGGCCGUG